rnacentral:lncRNA from 1 species
UGCAGCUAAUGAAAAGCGGACUUAUUCAGCAGAACCCCCAAGAAGAUGCAGACUAAGAAAUGCCAAUGCUUUGAUGGGUACAAGGAAGAAAUAGGACUAAGACAAGACAAAUAAUGGAGGACUUACAUGGCAGAGGCAACAAGGAGAAGUGCAGAGACAAGGUGGGGAAAGCCCCUUACAAAACCAUCAGAUCUCGUGAGAACUCAUCCACAUCACAAGAACAGCAUGAAG